GAUGAACGCUAGCGGCAGGCUUAAUACAUGCAAGUCGAGGGGCAGCAGUCCCGCAGCAAUGCGGGAGCUGGCGACCGGCAAACGGGUGCGGAACACGUACAGAACCUUCCUUCGAGCGGGGAAUAGCCCAGAGAAAUUUGGAUUAAUACCCCAUAGCAUUACGAAGUGGCAUCACUUUGUAAUUAAAGAUUUAUCACUCGAAGAUGGCUGUGCGGCUGAUUAGGUAGUUGGCGGAGUAACGGCCCACCAAGCCUUCGAUCAGUAACUGGUGUGAGAGCACGACCAGUCACACGGGCACUGAGACACGGGCCCGACUCCUACGGGAGGCAGCAGUAAGGAAUAUUGGUCAAUGGACGAAAGUCUGAACCAGCCAUGCCGCGUGGAGGAUGAAGGU
rnacentral:rRNA from 1 species